rnacentral:rRNA from 1 species
AGGACGAACGCUUGCGACGUGCCUAAGAAAUGCAAGUCGAACGGGGGAGCAAUCCCCUAGUGGCGAACGGUCGCGUAACACGUGGGCAACCUGCCUCGAAGCGGGGGACAACAGGGGGAAACUUCUGCUAAUACCGCAUGUGAAUUGCUCCGGCAUCGGAGAGGAUUCAAAGCCGCAAGGCACUUCGAGAUGGGCCCGCGGCCUAUCAGCUUGUUGGUGGGGUAACGGCCUACCAAGGCGACGACGGGUAGCUGGUCUGAGAGGACGAUCAGCCGGAUUGGGACUGAGAUACGGCCCAGACUCCUACGGGGGGCAGCAAUUAGGAAUCUUGCGCAAUGGGCGAAAGCCUGACGCAGCGACGUCGCGUGAAGGAUGAAAUCUUUCGGGAUGUAAACUUCUUUUUCGGGGAAGAAACAAUGACGGUACCCGAAGAAUAAGCCCCGGCUAACUACGUGCCAGCAGCCGC